UGAGGAAUAUUGGCCAAUGGUCGAGAGAUUGAACCAGCCAAGUCGCGUGAAGGAUGACUGCCCUAUGGGUUGUAAACUUUUUUUACAAGGGAAUAAAAUGAGAUACGUGUAUUUUAUUGCAUGUACCUUGGGAAUAAGCAUCGGCUAACUCCGUGCCAGCAGCCGCGGUAAUACGGAGGAUGCGAGCGUUAUCCGGAUUUAUUGGGUUUAAAGGGUGCGUAGGUGGGCUGUUAAGUCAGCGGUGAAAGUUUGUCGCUUAACGUUAAAAUAGCCGUUGAAACUGGUAGUCUUGAGUAUAGAUGAAGUAGGCGGAAUGCGUGGUGUAGCGGUGAAAUGCAUAGAGAUCACGCAAAACUCCGAUUGCGAAGGCAGCUUACUAGGGUAUAACUGACACUGAAGCACGAAAACGUGGGUAUCAAACAGG
rnacentral:rRNA from 1 species